rnacentral:rRNA from 1 species
AUUGAACGCUGGCGGCAGGCCUAACACAUGCAAGUCGAACGAGUGGCGGACGGGUGAGUAAUGUCUGGGAAACUGCCUGAUGGAGGGGGAUAACUACUGGAAACGGUAGCUAAUACCGCAUACCAUCAGAUGUGCCCAGAUGGGAUUAGCUAGUUGGUGGGGUAACGGCUCACCAAGGCGACGAUCCCUAGCUGGUCCGGGAGGAUGACCAGCCACACGGGAACUGAGACACGGUCAAAACUCCUACGGAAGGCAGCAGUGGGGAAUAUUGCACAAUGGGCGCAAGCCUAAAGCAGCCAUGCGGCGUGUGUGAAGAAGGCCUUCGGGUUGUAAAGUACUUUCAGCGGGAAGGCGUUACCCGCAGAAGAAGCACCGGCUAACUCCGUGGCAGCAGCCGCGGUAAUAC